rnacentral:misc_RNA from 1 species
UAAACCCAUCGCUUCCCUCCCCUGUUAAACCAGGGGGGUCGGCCCAUCACUUGCUGGUGGGCUUGGAAGCGGAGCUGGCUUUCCCACGCUUCGUGCGUGGGUUGGCUGAAAAGCAGAGGCUAGAGCUAGGACCCAUCAUGGGCUCAACUGGAUAGGUAGACCUGGCGCCUAACGGCACCUCCUACACGAAGUUGUGGCUUGUGGUCCUCGGCUGGCGGCCUGCAGGAAAUGAGCGUGUGUGCGUGUUGGAGCUUCUGCUUCCACCGCCUCCGCCAUCUACC